GCCCGCCUAGCUCAAUCGGAUAGAGCGUCAGACUCUUACGGAUCAAUCCGGGAAGUGUCAUCUGAAGGCUGCGAGUUCGACCCUCGCGGUGGGCU